rnacentral:lncRNA from 10 species
AAGGACGACCCGGCCGCCCCGGCAUCUUCCAGGAGCUGUCCGAGGUGCUAGUUCCCGGGCCCCGGCCGGAUCAGGUGGUUGACGGGCACCUCAGGGACAAGAGCCUGGCGUGUAGGUGGAAGGAAGAGACCCAGAGAUGGGAGCCUGGCACCAGCAGCCAGAGCCUCAGCUUCCAUAUCUGUAAACUGGGGAGAAUAACCUCCUAUACCUAUGCCAGGAGCCUCUGGGACGUGCCAGAAAGGAGUGAGAAAGAGCUGAAAGCAGGAGAGUGUGGUGACUGCGGAAGGUCCUUCAGAUCUGCAGGCGCAGGGGGAAAGAGAGAACAGAGGACGGAAGAUCGGAGAUGAUAUUCAGAGAGGCAAGGACACAGAUCCACGGAAAGACGACAUAGGAGGACGAGAAAGAAGAGCUGCAAACAGAGACAGAGACACACGGAGAGAGAGACUGAGAUGAGAGCUCAAGGCCUGGAGAGAAAAAAGACAUGGAAAGAUAAGAUAGGUAAGGGAGCAUAAUGAAGCAAGAAAGAGGCAAGAAAUAGAGACAAAUUACGCAAAGGAGCAGAGAGAGAGAGAGAGAGAGAGGAGAGGCUUAGAAAAAGAAAGAGACUCAGAAAAAGGAAUGAAAGAGACAGUGAUAUGCAGAGAUGAAUACCAAGAGAGAGUAGAGGCAAGGGUAAAUGU